CCUACGGGGGGCUGCAGUGGGGAAUUUUGGACAAUGGGGGCAACCCUGAUCCAGCCAUGCCGCGUGAGUGAAGAAGGCCUUCGGGUUGUAAAGCUCUUUCGGCCGGGAAGAAAUCGCAUCUCCUAAUACGGGGUGUGGAUGACGGUACCGGAAGAAGAAGCACCGGCUAACUACGUGCCAGCAGCCGCGGUAAUACGUAGGGUGCGAGCGUUAAUCGGAAUUACUGGGCGUAAAGCGUGCGCAGGCGGCUCACUAAGACAGAUGUGAAAUCCCCGGGCUUAACCUGGGAACUGCGUUUGUGACUGGUGGGCUUGAGUGCGGCAGAGGGGGGUGGAAUUCCACGUGUAGCAGUGAAAUGCGUAGAGAUGUGGAGGAACACCGAUGGCGAAGGCAGCCCCCUGGGUCGACACUGACGCUCAUGCACGAAAGCGUGGGGAGCAAACAGGAUUAGAUACCCCGGUAGUC
rnacentral:rRNA from 1 species